UCCCGACAAAGCCAAACCCUUUGUGAGAAGGGGGCAGAAAGCGGCGGGUCUCAGAAGAAGGAAGAUGGCCGAGCUACCGAA
rnacentral:ncRNA from 1 species